CUUGGUAGCCAUAGCGUAGCGGUCCCACCUGAAUCCAUGCCGAACUCAGAAGUGAAACGUUACUGCGCCGAUGGUAGUGUGGGGUCUCCCCAUGUGAGAGUAGGUCACUGCCAAGA
rnacentral:rRNA from 1 species